GGGUCCAUAGCUCAGUGGUAGAGCAAUUGACUGCAGAUUAAUAGGUCACCGGUUCAAACCCGGUUGGGCCCU
rfam:Triticum aestivum genome assembly, contig: Triticum_aestivum_CS42_TGACv1_scaffold_434941_5DL